AACGAACGCUGGCGGCAUGCCUAACACAUGCAAGUCGAACGAGACCUUCGGGUCUAGUGGCGCACGGGUGCGUAACGCGUGGGAACCUGCCCUUAGGUUCGGAAUAACUCCCCGAAAGGGGUGCUAAUACCGGAUAAUGUCUUCGGACCAAAGAUUUAUCGCCUUUGGAUGGGCCCGCGUUGGAUUAGCUAGUUGGUAGGGUAAAAGCCUACCAAGGAGACGAUCCAUAGCUGGUCUGAGAGGAUGAUCAGCCACACUGGGACUGAGACACGGCCCAGACUCCUACGGGAGGGAGCAGUGGGGAAUAUUGGACAAUGGGCGAAAGCCUGAUCCAGCAAUGCCGCGUGAGUGAUGAAGGCCUUAGGGUUGUAAAGCUCUUUUACCCGGGAUGAUAAUGACAGUACCGGGAGAAUAAGCCCCGGCUAACUCCAUG
rnacentral:rRNA from 1 species